rnacentral:lncRNA from 1 species
UUUAUUUGUAGCAGUUUGAGGUGGAUUUGAGUUCUAUUUACUCUUUUUGCGAUGGUAGAAAGAUGGAUGGGGGAAUUCAAGUUUUAUACUUUAUGACUGAUGAGAAAACUAGAUACCUAUUUGAUCAUUUGUGUGCAGUUGUGCGAUUUCGUGUUUCCUGGGCGUUGGAAAGGUUGAGCUCGGGGUUGCGUUUUCUGUGAAUGCUGUUAACUCAGGUUCGACUUUUUAUUAUCAAGCAGUGUAAUCCUGUUCUUAAUAUUUGUCUUCUUGAUAAGAUUACAUAAUGGAGAAUAGUGGCGGAAUGCAUAAUGCAAACAAGCUGACAUGGGCAAAUAUUUAACUCAUGUGAAUUUGGUGCCUUUACUCUUGGUCUCCCUGGCAUACAUGUUGAAUGCUGUUAGUGAGCAGUGUAGUAAGAAUUUUGUCAUCGGUGUACUUAUUGGUAGUGAACAGUAGUCAAAGAUGACCAGUAUGUGAGGAUUCAUUUUAUUGCUUUUUUGUCUUUGUUCUUUUAAGGGCUACUUCAUAUAUUACCCGAUUGGAGCAGUUUUGAAAUUUCUGUACAAAAGUAUAUUUGAGCUUAUGUUUACUCUGUUCAAGUUCAUUGAGCAUGGAGGUCUAAAACUUUGAAAGAUUUUCAUCAAUGUUGGAACAAGAUAAUCGUUAUUCUUGUUUGAUUGUUUAGAGUCUUUCAUCAACUGAUCAUGAAAGAUUUAAUUGUAUUCUCCAUGUAUUUGUUUAUAUUUGUGCUUUCACUUGUUGACAUACAGAAGAACAAAAAAUAUCUGAAUCUGUUGGCUUUUGUUUGGAGAACUUCCAAAGCACCAGUUUAUUCAUAGGAGGAGUUGCUUGUAAUCUUUUAAGGUUUUUGCACAUGUGAUGUCGUUUUCCUAUCUCCAGUCACUUUUCCUCUCACCUCAAAAUGGUGACUUCAGGGUUUCAGCUUCUGCAAUUUCUCUUGGGUCAAGUUAGGCGGUUGAGCUACGACCCAUUAUUUAGCCCAUCUGGAUCCAAGCUUUCUUAGCCCAAGUAGAUUUUUGGCAGUUCAGUCAAACCCGUUUAUUGACCGAAUCCAUUUUAACUUUGCCCAAAUUUGACCCAUUGCAGAAUCACAAAUAAGAUUUGACACAUGUUUUUGAAUUUGAUUGAAGUUAAAUGGUGCAUGCCAGAAUCUCUUAAGGAGCUGCUACUUUGUUGGAAUAGAAGAAGACUACAUAAAGACGAUAAAAAGUUGGGGAACACAAUACCGGCGACUAUAUGGCGGACUGUGGAAGGAGAGAUAUCAGGAUACUUUGAAGGGAAAAAGGAAAAUAUCUGUACCUUUAAGCAUAGAUAUUUAGCUCUCUUAGCAUUUUGGUGUAAAAAUGAAAAUGUACUAGAAGUAGUCAGGAUGGUUAAUUUCCUUGGAUCUUUUGACAUGUCGUAAGAUGCAUACUAUUGUGGUUGUACUACUUAUCCAUUGC